rnacentral:rRNA from 1 species
CCUACGGGGGGCUGCAGUCGAGAAUCUUCCCCAAUGGGCGAAAGCCUGAGGGAGCGACGCCGCGUGUAGGAUGAAGGCCUUCGGGUCGUAAACUACUUUUGUCGAGGACGAAUACUGACGGUACUCGAAGAAUAAGAGGUUGCUAACUCUGUGCCAGCAGCAGCGGUAAUACAGAGACCUCAAGCAUUAUCCGGAUUUAUUGGGCGUAAAGGGUCCGCAGGUGGCCAGACACGUCACGGGUUAAAUUUCAGGGCUCAACUCUGAAACCGCUCGUGAUACGGUUUGGCUCGAGCAUGGGAGAGGUACGCGGAAUUACCGGUGUAGUAGUAAAAUGCGUUAAUAUCGGUAAGAACACCAAAUGCGAAGGCAGCGUACUGGAACAUUGCUGACACUCAGGGACGAAAGCGUGGGGAGCGAAAGGGAUUAGAUACCCUAGUAGU